UAGACAACAGGGCCAAUGUCUGGACUGUGAAUCUAAACUACCUCAACUGCCACUGUACCCACUGGAGAGAAGCAGCCUCUCUCUCCAAGGAUCUGGAAGAGCUUGGGACAAUGAUAAAUGAUGGCCAGCAGCUCCAGAGAUGCUGCUUUACAGACGAAAAGCAAGGAAUAUCGAGUAAGAUCUUAUGCUAUGAAAAUAAGGACAUAAAAGGAAGACCAAAACCAUACCCCAACAAAACAAAGGAGUUUAUUUUCCAAAAUGGGAUGUUCAUAAACUAAACAAAUUAACAGCCAAAAGAUGUAGGUGAUGCUAACUUUGUUAACAGACACAAACUGUACCAAGUUAUAACAGUGCAAUAUUAAACAGCACUAUUUACAUGCAUAUUUACAACCUCUGUUGUCUUUACAUAAGUUAUUUUACCUACUUCUUGGGAAAUUUCACACACACAUCUUGUGUUAGGAAAUAGACUCUACUUAAUCUAUUCAAUAUAAAACGAGGAACCCAAAAAAAAAGCCAGACAUGUUCCUGGGCAACAUUUCGUAAAGACAAAAAUAGAUGCUUAAAAAGGGAAGGGACAAUAACCAGCAAACAUUUAGGGCUUAUUUUCUGUAAUAAAAACUGUUUAGCUCUAUACAAGUGAUUGUAUAUGGUAUCUAAAUUACCAAAUUGAGAAGUAACAGAAAUGCCAAUUUCUGAGCAUUACAGUUCAAAGCAACACGCAUUAUUGUGCAACACUGAACUAAAAACAGAAUCAUG